CCUACGGGAGGCAGCAGUGAGGAAUAUUGGUCAAUGGGCGGAAGCCUGAACCAGCCAAGUAGCGUGCAGGAUGACGGCCCUACGGGUUGUAAACCGCUUUUAUCCGGGAAUAACGCGCCUUACGUGUAGGGCUUUGCAUGUACCGUAUGAAUAAGCACCGGCUAAUUCCGUGCCAGCAGCCGCGGUAAUACGGAAGGUUCGGGCGUUAUCCGGAUUUAUUGGGUUUAAAGGGAGCGGCGGCGGGAUGUCCAGCGCGGUGGUAAAUGUCCGGGCUCAAGCCGGGCCGUGCAGUGAGCACUGGCGUGCUGGAGUCCGCGGAAAGCAGGCGGAAUUCGUGGUGUAGCGGUGAAAUGCUUAGAUAUGACGAAGAACCCCGAUUGCGAAGGCAGCUUGCUGCAGCGGAACUGACGCUGAUGCUCGAAAGCGCGGGUAUCGAACAGGAUUAGAUACCCUUGUAGUC
rnacentral:rRNA from 1 species